AGAGUUUGAUCAUGGCUCAGGACGAACGCUGGCGGCGUGCUUAACACAUGCAAGUCAAGGGGGCCCAGCAAUGGGCAACCGGCGAACGGGUGCGUAACACGUGAGCAACCUACCGAACUGUGGGGGAUAGCCGGCCUAACGGCCGAGUAAUACCGCAUACGCUUUCUAAAAGGCAUUUUUUGGAAAGGAAACCUACGGGACAGAUCGAGGGGCUCGCGGCCUAUCAGCUAGUUGGCGAGGUAACGGCUCACCAAGGCUACGACGGGUAGCUGGUCUGAGAGGAUGGCCAGCCACAUUGGGACUGAGAUACGGCCCAGACUCCUACGGGAGGCAGCAGUGGGGAAUCUUGCGCAAUGGCCUAACGGCUGACGCAGCGACGCCGCGUGUGGGAUGAAGCUCCUCGGAGUGUAAACCACUGUUGCCCGGGACGAACAGCUCGAUUCAUCGAGCCUGACGGUACCGGGUGAGGAAGCACCGGCUAACUCCGUGCCAGCAGCCGCGGUAAUACGGGGGGUGCGAGCGUUGUCCGGAAUCACUGGGCGUAAAGGGCGCGUAGGUGGUUUGAUAAGGGUGUGGUGAAAGCCCGGGGCUCAACCCCGGGUCUGCCGUGCCGACUGUCAAACUCGAGGGCUGUAGAGGCAGACGGAAUUCCGGGUGUAGCGGUGGAAUGCGUAGAGAUCCGGAGGAAGACCGGUGGCGAAGGCGGUCUGCUGGGCAGUUUCUGACACUGAUGCGCGACAGCGUGGGGAGCAAACAGGAUUAGAUACCCUGGUAGUCCACGCCGUAAACGAUGGGUACUAGGUGCCUGGGGGAGCGACCCUCUGGGUGCCGGCGCUAACGCAGGAAGUACCCCGCCUGGGGAGUACGACCGCAAGGUUGAAACUCAAAGGAAUUGACGG
rnacentral:rRNA from 1 species